rnacentral:rRNA from 1 species
GGGGAAUAUUGCGCAAUGGGGGAAACCCUGACGCAGCAACGCCGCGUGAGCGAUGAAGGUCUUCGGAUUGUAAAGCUCUGUCUUUAGGGACGAUAAUGACGGUACCUAAGGAGGAAGCCACGGCUAACUACGUGCCAGCAGCCGCGGUAAUACGUAGGUGGCAAGCGUUGUCCGGAUUUACUGGGCGUAAAGAGUAUGUAGGCGGAUAUUUAAGUCAGAUGUGAAAUUCCCGGGCUUAACCUGGGCGCUGCAUUUGAUACUGGAUAUCUAGAGUGUGGGAGAGGAAAGCGGAAUUCCUAGUGUAGCGGUGAAAUGCGUAGAGAUUAGGAAGAACACCAGUGGCGAAGGCGGCUUUCUGGACCAUAACUGACGCUGAGAUACGAAAGCGUGGGGAGCAAAC